UACAGAGGUCUCAAGCGUUGUUCGGAUUCAUUGGGCGUAAAGGGCGCGUAGGCGGUUCGUACAGUCAGACGUGAAAUUCCUGGGCUCAACCUGGGGGCUGCGUUUGAUACGUGCGGACUUGAGUGCGGAAGAGGGUCGUGGAAUUCCCAGUGUAGAGGUGAAAUUCGUAGAUAUUGGGAAGAACACCGGUGGCGAAGGCGGCGACCUGGUCCGGAACUGACGCUGAGACGCGAAAGCGUGGGGAGCAAACAGG
rnacentral:rRNA from 1 species